GACGAACGCUGGCGGCGUGCUUAACACAUGCAAGUCGAACGAAGAGCGAUGGAAGCUUGCUUCUAUCAAUCUUAGUGGCGAACGGGUGAGUAACGCGUAAUCAACCUGCCCUUCAGAGGGGGACAACAGUUGGAAACGACUGCUAAUACCGCAUACGAUCUAAUCUCGGCAUCGAGGAUAGAUGAAAGGUGGCCUCUACAUGUAAGCUAUCACUGAAGGAGGGGAUUGCGUCUGAUUAGCUAGUUGGAGGGGUAACGGCCCACCAAGGCGAUGAUCAGUAGCCGGUCUGAGAGGAUGAACGGCCACAUUGGGACUGAGACACGGCCCAGACUCCUACGGGAGGCAGCAGUGGGGAAUCUUCCGCAAUGGACGAAAGUCUGACGGAGCAACGCCGCGUGAGUGAUGACGGCCUUCGGAUUGUAAAGCUCUGUUAAUCGGGACGAAAGGCCUUCUUGCGAAUAGUGAGAAGGAUUGACGGUACCGGAAUAGAAAGCCACGGCUAACUACGUG
rnacentral:rRNA from 1 species